rnacentral:rRNA from 1 species
AGCAGCCGCGGUAAUUCCAGCUCCAAUAGCGUAUAUUAAAGUUGUUGCAGUUAAAAAGCUCGUAGUUGAAUUUCGGGGUCUGUCCGUCGGUCGGGCUUCACGGUCCGUACUGGUGUGAUGGGUUCCUACCUUCUGAAUAACCGGCAUGCCAUUCAGUUGGUGCGCCGGGGAAGCAGAGCUAUUACCUUGAAAAAAUUAGAGUGCUUAAAGCAGGCUAGUGCUUGAAUAGAUUAGCAUGGAAUAAUAAAAUAGGACGGCAUGGUUCUAUUUUGUUGGUUUCUAGGAUCACCGUAAUGAUUAAUAGGGAUAGUUGGGGGGCAUUAGUAUUCAAUUGUCAGAGGUGAAAUUCUUGGAUUUAUUGAAGACUAACUUCUGCGAAAGCAUUUGCCAAGGAUGUUCUCAUUAAUCAAGAACGAAAGUUAGGGGAUCGAAGACGAUCAGAUACCGUCGUAGUCUUAACCAUAAACUAUGCCGACUAGGGAUCGGACGAUGUUAAUUUUUUAAUGACUCGUUCGGCGCC